rnacentral:rRNA from 1 species
GACGAACGCUGGCGGCGUGCUUAACACAUGCAAGUCGAACGGAAAGGCCCUGCUUUUGUGGGGUGCUCGAGUGGCGAACGGGUGAGUAACACGUGAGUAACCUGCCCUUGACUUUGGGAUAACUUCAGGAAACUGGGGCUAAUACCGGAUAGGAGCUCCUGCUGCAUGGUGGGGGUUGGAAAGUUUCGGCGGUUGGGGAUGGACUCGCGGCUUAUCAGCUUGUCGGUGGGGUAGUGGCUUACCAAGGCUUUGACGGGUAGCCGGCCUGAGAGGGUGACCGGCCACAUUGGGACUGAGAUACGGCACAGACUCCUACGGGAGGCAGCAGUGGGGAAUAUUGCACAAUGGGCGGAAGCCUGAUGCAGCAAAGCCGCGUGCGGGAUGACGGCCUUCGGGUUGUAAACCGCUUCCGCCUGUGACGAAGCGUGAGUGACGGUAAUGGGUAAAGAAGCACCGGCUAACUACGUG